rnacentral:rRNA from 1 species
GACGAACGCUGGCGGCGUGCUUAACACAUGCAAGUCGAACGGAAAGGCCCCUUUGGGGGUACUCGAGUGGCGAACGGGUGCGUAACACGUGAGUAACCUGCCCUUGACUUCGGGAUAACUUCAGGAAACUGGGGCUAAUACCGGAUAGGAAUCCUUGCUGCAUGGUGGGGGUUGGAAAGCUUCGGCGGUUUUGGAUGGACUCGCGGCUUAUCAGCUUGUUGGUGGGGUAGUGGCUUACCAAGGCUUUGACGGGUAGCCGGCCUGAGAGGGCGACCGGCCACAUUGGGACUGAGAUACGGCCCAGACUCCUACGGGAGGCAGCAGUGGGGAAUAUUGCACAAUGGGCGGAAGCCUGAUGCAGCAACGCCGCGUGCGGGAUGACGGCCUUCGGGUUGUAAACCGCUUUCAGCAGGGGCGAAGCUUGUGGUGACGGUACCUGCAGAAGAAGCACCGGCUAACUACUUG